rnacentral:pre_miRNA from 1 species
UCCCUCCGAAAUCCCGAAAUUUUAUACAAUGCUUUCACUCUUCGUUUUAUAUGAAAUUUUUUUAUUAAUAUUUUUUAUUCUUACUAGAUGAUAAAAUAUGAAUAAUACUUUAUGCGUAUUUAAUUUUUUUAAAUUUUUAUACAAAUCUUUCAAAUAAGACGAAUGGUCAAACGUUGGACAUGGAAAAACA